rnacentral:lncRNA from 1 species
GAUUCAGGGGAUUUUGUUGAAAUUUGAAAACUACAAGAAGUUCUGCGUGAGUAUGCAUGAGAAGAUCUGGAGUAUGCGUGAGUAUGAUUCAGGGGAUUUUAUGGUAAGUUAAUAAUUAGAUAUCUCAGUGGAGUAUGCGUGAGAAGAUUUUGUUGUAUUGCAUAAUAAGUUAAUAAUUAUACACAAAUUCUAAAACAAUGGAGAACGCUUCAACGUAGUUCAAAAAUAGAAUGAAGAUCUGGAGUUAAUUAACUUACUAGAGUGUGAGAGGGUGACGAACUGCGAGAGGGUGAUGAACUGCGAGAGGGUGACAAACUACGGCGGUGACUGGUUCAGAAUUGCUAUGCUAGGGUUUAAAGGAGUUGCUCUGCGGUGGUGACUGUUGG